CACUCCACCUCCAUACACAUAGAGAAGAAAGAAGAGUCUAAGCUGAUUCCAAGGUUUUGAACCCAAGUGCCUUGGAGAAAUCCACAAAAGCCCUGAAAAACAUUUGGAGCCCAUUUUCUUUGGUCAAUCUGCUAUCUCUUCCACCACAAGCCAUUACUCCGGUCAAGCCGGUAAACCCUCAUUUAGAUCCAUAAUGUCAUGUUUUCAUCUCAGGCCAUGUGAACACAUUUCCAGGAAAUAAAACCCAAUAGCCCCAUCUUCGUCUGUUUACGCUGGGAAGGUGCUUCAUCCCUUCCCCUUCCCGAGAGAUGGGAAAGGAAAGAAAACAAUUUAUGAAUCAUUUUGGUCCUGACAGAUGUGACGAUAGCUGGGAACAAGAGGCCUGCCAAGAGCUUUUAUCAAGUAUGUUAUAACAACGAGUAAUAAGUGUAAAUAAUAAAUGUGUGGGAUCUUCAGGGAAACGGUGGCAAUACUAAACAAUUUUGGGUACUUGCUGAUGGGGGCUUUGCUUGCCUUGGAAUCCCCUGGCUUCCCAGUAGAGUUUUGGCCUGACAAUAAACAACAGUUUAAUACUUGAUCUAAUCCCAGCCAGGAGGUGAGUUCAGCAGUGAGCUUUUGCAGAUGUUCACAUCCAAUAAUCUAUCCAUAAUUGAUGAAACAGGGAGGUCAGAUGUAAUGGCUGCUACUAUCCCGGCAACAAAUAAAUGGUUAUUGACAAAACAAGCCAGUGUGGGGCUUGAGAGCUGAGCAGUGACAAGCAGGGAAGGAGAAGAUGGGAGCAGGGACGAGCUUUCGCCCUUCAUCCGGAGAAUUCCUCCAUGCAAUGGAUGUUUGGGAGAAUGGCCCACUGACUCACCAGCAGAUGGAAGGGACCCUGGAGGAGCAAAAUGGAGAUUCCUAAAGUACAUAAAAGGCAAAGACAGACAGGCUGAGAAGGAGAUGAAGAGAGAGUGCCGGAAAAGGCAGGAGAGUGGGAUAAGAAAGCCUGAGGAAAGGUUGACCCAUCCAGGUUAAGGAUCAGUCAGAAUUGGGUUCCAGUAGCUUCUGACACCAAGUCCCACCAUACUUUCUGUUAUCAUACAUUGCAAAAUAAAAGCGUUAGACUUGAUGAUUUUCAUA